UAUCGGUAUUUCUAGCUUUCAAAAUUAAAAGUAAAAAUAAAAGCAUUUAUUUCUCCAUAGCUUCCUUUUCACUGUAGUUAAAACACUGGCUUUGGAUAUCACUGUUAACAUUGUGAGUGCAUUACAUUUAAACUUAAAAAAUUAUGAAGACUAUGAAACAUAUUUUCAGUGUAAAACAGUGAUUUUUUUCACAAAGAAGUGAGAAACACAUCAGCAAGCUUAGUCCUUGUGUCUUCUUUAGGUGACAAUGAAGAGCGUGUUCUAUGUACUGAAUGUUGCUGGAGGGCAAGUUUCCCAGAUGGGAACCAGGACAUCUUUCAGAAUGAAGAUGAUGAAGGUCUAGUGGUAUGAUGACCAGAGAUGGGGAGAGUAACAGCUGGAAAGACAAAGACAAAACUCACCGUAUUCAUAUCAACUGUUCCUGUAACACCACCAUCAACUGAAGGAUUAGAAGAGGGAAAUGCCCUUGAAAAGGGGAACUGUGAAGAGACUAUUCCUGGAAAGCUGUAUCUGGGCAGUGAAAAGGAGCAAGUAGGCAUUAUCAGCUUCCAUCACCCAGUGAAGUUGUCUCCAGGCAAUGAUCAAAGGAAAUUGUGCAGCUGCCUUUUAAGUCUAUUACACAACAAGAAUUCCAGGAUUUUGAUUUCAUUUCAGAGAUUACCUAUUUUAACACGCAUUUCUCACAUGGGAAAGAUGCAUUCAGGAACCCUACUAGCUUUGAAGAAACUGUUGCUGAGAGCUCUCUGAUGUCAACAGCGGGGCCAUGUUUUGAGUCAUCUGGCAACAUGGCUUUACAACUGCAAUUGCUGGAACAACUGAAGCAGAAGCAAAAGACCACCAAAGGACAUACUGAUCUUUUGUUGACUUAAACCACUUGGGUAACAAGUCCCUGGUGUGAACCGGCACAGGUGUUUUCUCAGCCUAAAAAAUAUUCUACCUUUCUCAUUGAGUCACUCUCCCCUAUGGCACAUUCAUUGUGGAAAUUCACUUUUUUUUUUUUUUCAGGAGUGGAAGCACAACAGUUCUUUCUAAUUCCUUGUUUCAUAUUCUAAACUCUAGUCUAGCUGAGAAAUUCUACUUUAGUUGCUAUUCUCUCUAUUAUAAUCACCACAAAUUACAAUUUUAUUUCACAAACAUAAAAUAAUGUCUUUAAUGUAUAACUAAGCUGAGAACUGCAGUAAAUUAAAAAAAAAGUUAUGAAAGCAAUGAUUUUAAAAAUGCAAAUUAGAUGUAUUAGCAUUAAUCCUCAGUUAUAUGGAAACAGUAAACUGAAAUGAUGACUGAUAUAAUUAAAUAAAAUAUAUCUUACAUCAUGUAGAUGGCUAUUU
rnacentral:lncRNA from 1 species